rnacentral:rRNA from 1 species
UACCUCCUGCGGUAGCUGGAGCUGGAGCUGCGGCGGCGGCCGGAGCGGAGGGAGCGGAGCAGGCCGCGGCGGCGGGUGAGGCCCUUUCCGUUCGGAGCACGGGGCGCGUUCUGGCGGCGCCGCUGGUUCGGCUUCUUCCGCGACUGCGAGCUUGUCGCCCGUUCCCUCAGCCGGUUCUCCUUCCCGGCCUCCGUGCGGCGCCUGCGCUCCCUACUCCGGUGAUGCGUCCGGCGGCGGCGGCGGCGCGUCGUCCUCAAGUGGUUGCGGGCGCAGCGGCGACGUUACUCCGUCCACGAAAUGUACGAACCCCGGAGGGCGGAGAGGCCCCUCACGAGUGGGCUGCACUCGCACCAGCGCGGAAGGUGUGGGUGCGGGCGCGGGUAGCUGGAGUUGUGGUGGGGCCACCAGCCACGGAGCAGCAGGCCGCCGCGCUCCUUUGUGUGCGCUGUCUGCGGCCGGCCGCCAGAGGGCCUGCGGGCGUUGGACAAGCUCCUUUACGGCAGGCGGCAGCUGCUCCUGAUGUACGUUGUGGAGUAGAAGCUCCCACCACGCGGCCCGCGACCUAUACUAGGACUCCUCUGCGUUUCGGUCCUGCCGGCGCCCCGCAAGUGCGGCCGGCGACCGAUACUAGGGCUAGUCCGCCGGAAGUACGCACUAGUCCAGCCGAAGCUGGACCUACCGAAGGGGGAACUGGUGCUCAAGGGCCUGCUGAUACCCUAUCUCCUUCUCCUACUCACGCUGUAGCUUGCGCACAAAGUACUCGCGUUCUUCAAAGGUGGGAUGGUUAAACACUCGUGCGCGCCCACCCAGAGGUAAAGGUUCGCCACCUCCCAUUAGGUUGUUCUCACGUUGUUCAAAACACGGUGGGAACUCUCGCAGUUCCGGGCGGGGCACUCGCCGUAGCCGCACGUUCUGUACCGUAAAGUUCGAAACCUCCGUAAGUUCCAAGUUGUGUUACCGUUCACGAAGUUGGAGAGGGUAACGAUAGCACAGUAGUUCCUGCUUCUCUUCAAGUUCCGUGUUAUACGGCGCGAGUUCCGUGCACCCCCCUUCCCGCGGCACCUCCUACAACCCCUCCCGUUCGGCCGUGCUGGUGCCCCCUUCUGGUUGAGGUUCUUCCUCCUGUUCGCUCUACGCCGGUGGUUGCGGAACUAACGUUCGCAUCUGCCGUACUACUUAUUAUUCCUGAGUUCCCUCCUCCUCGCAGCCGCAAAGUGUCUUCUCGUUUACUCGCGAAAGUACCUCUAGGUUUCCUCCUCCGAACUCGAACUGCGGCUCUUCGUUCGGUUCUACAAGCUCGAGCUCCGACUCUUCGUUCGCUUCUACGAUCUCUAGCUGCGGCGGUUGUGGUUCUGUUUCCGCUUUCUUCACCGAGAACGUUCGUACUACUGACCCCACCUCUAGUACUUCCACCUAGAGUUGCGGAACAGCGGUUCCUUUUCCGACACCAAGCUCUUCUAAUAAGAACAAUGUAAGUUUAAUACCUACGAUGAUCUUGUUCCACGCGUUAGAGGGUUAUGAAACUUCUAAGGCUCCUCGCUCUAGUCACUGACGUAUUUUCUUCUAGAACGUGUUUCUGAAGGGUUCGGUUCCUAAGAAGAGAACGUUCUCGCGUAGUAGCUGUAGCGUCGUUGGUGCGAAUAGCUUCUUGAACUCCAGUUCCGUGACCUUCCGCUAGAACUGCUGUAGGUAUCAAAAUUACUCGUACAUAGGAUAGAGCUCCACCGUCUCGAAACCGUACAACGAAGGUUAUCGUACCCGGAGCACUAAGACCGUGUGGAAGGGUUGCUGUAGAUACCACACAUACUGAACGACUACAUACUGCUCCUUAAAGAUAAAGAACGGUCUACGUAGGUCUCGUGCCCGUGGUUACAACCACGUGGACGAAUGUAGGUCCUUACAUUGGGAUAUGCCAGAAACACGUUGUAGAAGGUGAUACGUCAGCGACUAGAGUGAGGAGCCUUAGAGCUUUCAUAACGCUCUAACGUGUGAAAGUUUUCAUUUGUACCACCCCACGCGUUAGAAUGAAACCUCUAAGGCUCCUCGUUCUAGCCACUGACGUCUCUUCUAGAACGUGUUUCUGAAGGGUUCUUGACGCUUUGGGAGCAGUAUGAAGUCGUCCAGCACGUGGGUUAACUACAGUAACCCUUCCUAGACCAUGGUACAGCGUUGUAAAGAGUGAUAGUCUUUUGUCUAGAACCUAAUGAACUUUUCUAAGAGGACACGCGUUAGAGAGUUGUCAAACAUCUAAUACUCUUGACGUGGUUCUAACCGCGGGCACGAGAUCUCCGUAAACCGUUCUUGACGUUUUAGGAGCAGUCUGAAACCGCUCAUGACGUGGGAUAUCUACAGCGACCCUUCCACACCGUCUUACUGCUCCGGGUACGAUGACGGUCGUUUUACGGUUUCGAGACGUUGGAGCUCUAUCCUUUGUACGAGUAAUUCUGAUCUCAACAACAGUUCUAGCGGAGGCUCACGGUAGUGGAGUUCAAGAAUCUACACGCACCAACAACCCUGCAGCUACUAUUCGAGAACGUUCUCUUUAUAGAACCCUAUUUUUGGGAGCCGGGGGUACACCUCUGACGAUACUCUUAGCGUAUGUAAGUACUUCCGGGGCUUCGGAGGAAGUCCUUACACACGUACAAGUACUGCACCUACAAUUUCGGCUUCGUUUUCCACCAAUGCAAUGACUGCUGACUGCAAGCGCUAUUAUUACAAGUUCUUACU